CAGCAGCCGCGGGAAAACGUAGGGUGCAAGCGUUAAUCGGAUUUACUGGGCGUAAAGCGUGCGUAGGCGGCUUCUUAAGUCGGAUGUGAAAUCCCUGAGCUUAACUUAGGAAUUGCAUUCGAUACUGGGAAGCUAGAGUAUGGGAGAGGAUGGUAGAAUUCCAGGUGUAGCGGUGAAAUGCGUAGAGAUCUGGAGGAAUACCGAUGGCGAAGGCAGCCAUCUGGCCUAAUACUGACGCUGAGGUACGAAAGCAUGGGGAGCAAACAGGAUUAGAUACCCCUGUAGUCCCUGUCUCUUAUAC
rnacentral:rRNA from 1 species